CCUGACGCAGCAACGCCGCGUGUGUGAUGAAGGUCUUCGGAUUGUAAAGCACUUUCGACCGGGACGAAAACCCGUUGGCUAACAUCCAGCGGCUUGACGGUACCGGGAGAAGAAGCACCGGCUAACUCUGUGCCAGCAGCCGCGGUAAUACAGAGGGUGCAAGCGUUGUUCGGAAUUAUUGGGCGUAAAGCGCGUGUAGGCGGCUUUGCAAGUCGGGUGUGAAAGCCCUCAGCUCAACUGAGGAAGUGCGCCCGAAACUGCAGAGCUUGAGUGCCGGAGAGGGUGGCGGAAUUCCCCAAGUAGAGGUGAAAUUCGUAGAUAUGGGGAGGAACACCGGUGGCGAAGGCGGCCACCUGGACGGUAACUGACGCUGAGACGCGAAAGCGUGGGGAGCAAACAGGAUUAGAUACCCUGGUAGUCCACGCCGUAAACGAUGAGAACUAGGUGUCGUGGGUGUUGACCCCCGCGGUGCCGUAGCUAACGCAUUAAGUUCUCCGCCUGGGAAGUACGGUCGCAAGACUA
rnacentral:rRNA from 1 species